UACGUAGGGGGCAAGCGUUGUCCGGAAUCAUUGGGCGUAAAGCGCGCGUAGGCGGCCCGGUAAGUCCGUUGUGAAAGUCAAAGGCUCAACCUUUGAACGCCGAUGGAUACUGCCGGGCUAGAGUCCGGAAGAGGCGAGUGGAAUUCCUGGUGUAGCGGUGGAAUGCGCAGAUAUCAGGAGGAACACCAAUAGCGAAGGCAGAUCUCUGGGCCGUAACUGACGCUGAGGAGCGAAAGCAUGGGGAGCGAACAGG
rnacentral:rRNA from 1 species